GAUGAACGCUGGCGGCGUGCUUAACACAUGCAAGUCGAACGGAAAGGCUCCUGCUUGCAGGGGUACUCGAGUGGCGAACGGGUGAGUAACACGUGGGUGAUCUGCCCUGCACUUCGGGAUAAGCCUGGGAAACUGGGUCUAAUACCGGAUAGGACCACAUUUUGGAUGGUGUGGUGGAAAGUUUUUCGGUGUGGGAUGAGCUCGCGGCCUAUCAGCUUGUUGGUGGGGUAAUGGCCUACCAAGGCGUCGACGGGUAGCCGGCCUGAGAGGGUGUACGGCCACAUUGGGACUGAGAUACGGCCCAGACUCCUACGGGAGGCAGCAGUGGGGAAUAUUGCACAAUGGGCGCAAGCCUGAUGCAGCGACGCCGCGUGGGGGAGGACGGCCUUCGGGUGGUAAACUCCUUUCGCUAGGGACGAAGCGCAAGUGACGGUACCUGGAGAAGAAGCACCGGCUAACUACGU
rnacentral:rRNA from 1 species